UGGCUGAGUGGUAAAGCACUUGGCUUCUGAACUGGAGGCUCCCAGGUUCAAAUCCUGG
rnacentral:tRNA from 1 species